rnacentral:tRNA from 1 species
GGUCCCGUAGCUCAGUAGGAUAGAGCAACAGAUUCCUAAUCUGUGUGUCGUGUGUUCGAAUCGCACCGGGAUCACCA